AUCGCUUCUCGGCCUUUUGGCUAAGAUCAAGUGUAGUACCUUUUGGGAAACACUUGGUCCACUGGCUGGCAAGACCAAAGAGGAGUAUCUGUUCUAAUGAUCCUAUCUGAAGAACGGAGAAACCAUU
rnacentral:snRNA from 1 species